rnacentral:rRNA from 1 species
AUUGAACGCUGGCGGCAGGCUUAACACAUGCAAGUCGAACGAAUGGCGGACGGGUGAGUAAUGCUUGAGAAUCUAGCUAAUGGAGGGGGAUAACUACGGGAAACUGUAGCUAAUACCGCGUACAGUAGGAUGAGCCCAAGUGGGCUUAGGUAGUUGGUGCGGUAAAGGCUAACCAAGCCGCCGAUCUCGAGCUGGUCUGAGCGGAUGACCUGCCACAUUGGGACUGAGACACGGCCCAGACUCCUACGGGAGGCAGCAGUGGGGAAUAUUGAGCAAUGGGGGCAACCUGACGCAGCCAUGCCGCGUGAAUGAAGAAGGCCUUCGGGUUGUAAAGUUCUUUCGUUAGCGAGGCGUUAACUACAGAAGAAGCACCGGCUAACUCCGUGCCAGCAGCCGCGGUAAUAC